GCCUGCGGCCCUGGCUGCUCGGCUGCCGGCCCGCUCCGCCCCGCCGCCGCUUCCUGCCUCCCCGGUCGCGGCCGCCCGCGCCCGCCGCCACCUGCCCGCCGCCUCCCCGCCGACUCUUGCGGACCUUUUUGCCACUUUGUCACCCGCCCCCAGCUCCAGUAUUGCCGCUUCGACUGCACUGGUAUAAAAGUUGGUAACUCUGUCGUUAAAGCCACUGUUUUCUUAAGCGUCUCACACUAGCCCUGGCGAAGAAACACUGUGUGGGACUUCUCUCCUGAUGGGAAAUGGUCGGGCAUCCUGGUUAUUUGCAAACUUGUCCUAAUUCUCCUGUUAGACUUCUAGCUCCUUGAGAAGCAGACCUUGGAACUUUAAGGAGUUGAUAAUAAGUGAGAAUGGAUAAAGAGACAUGUUUACCUGUAAAUGGCUGCAGAUAACCAAGGCACAGUGCUGGGCAUUGAGAUCAUAAUGGUGGUGAGCAAACUCAGACAGAACCCUGUCAUCAUAGAAAUUACCGCUCCAAGAAGGAGGAGGUGGCCCUAAAUCAAAAACAAAUGCGUGAUUAGAAACAGUAGAAAAGGUUGCCAACUGUCACCCCAGAGCCACAGCAGGGGGCAUGGAAAAAUUGGAUGCGUACGGGAGCUGGAAACCGUUCUCCUAUCUACUGGGCAUUAUCUCAAGCACCAAAUGGGCUGACCGAGGACAAACAUCAGUACGAGGGGCUCAGCCCUGAAAAUUCCCUGGCAGUGUUGGACAUUAAUUUAAGAUGCAGUCAUUACAUAAAUGGACAAACUGACCCUAAAUUUCAAUGGACCAGAAUAGAUAAAACAAUCCUCAAAAGAAAAAACAAAUUUGGAAGACUCACACUUCCCAAUUUCAAAACCUACUACAAAGCUACAGAAAUCAAAGAGGAGCUAAUGUUGCCUCUGUGAUCAGAGAACAACAGCAAUAAACUUUUGGAAAAACUGAAAAGGACGUGCCAAAGGAGCUGAGGGUUCAGGCUGAAGGGGCCUACAGCCAUGUCCGGGUCCCAGAGUUUGCAACUGUAGGUUCAAUGCUCUUCAUCCUCUGCCUUCUUAGUACAUUCAAGGAGUUGAGGUGGCCAAAAAAGGUUGGGGACCUGGAAACCUCCCUGAGUAGGACUUUCUUUGUUUAAUGAUCAACAUUGUGGUUGUGCAUUUUUAAAAAAAAUACUGCUGCCAGGCCCUUCCCCCAGAGGCCCUGCUUCAGUGGGUCUGGGGUGGGGCCCAGAUCCUAUUUGGAAACUGCCCAGGUGAGAGUUACUGUUUGAUGGGGAUGGAGUUUCUGUUUGGGAAGAUGAAGCUCUGGAGAUGGACAGUGGUUGUGGUUGUACAACCUUGUCAAUGUACUCAAUUGCCGCUGUCUUGUACACCUACAAGGAGUGGAAUGGUAAAGGUUGUGUUAUGUAUAUUUUACCACAAU